rnacentral:rRNA from 1 species
CUACGGGGUGCAGCAGUGAGGAAUAUUGCACAAUGGGGGAAACCCUGAUGCAGCAACGCCGCGUGGAGGAUGACGCAUUUCGGUGUGUAAACUCCUUUUAUGAGUCAAGAAAAUGACGGUAGCUCAUGAAUAAGCACCGGCUAACUCCGUGCCAGCAGCCGCGGUAAUACGGAGGGUGCAAGCGUUACUCGGAAUCACUGGGCGUAAAGGACGCGUAGGCGGGAUAUCAAGUCAGGUGUGAAAUCCUACAGCUUAACUGUAGAACUGCACUUGAAACUGGUAACCUAGAGUAUGGGAGGGGGAGAUGGAAUUAGUGGUGUAGGGGUAAAAUCCGUAGAUAUCACUAGGAAUACCUAAAGCGAAGGCGAUCUCCUGGAACAUAACUGACGCUAAGGCGUGAAAGCGUGGGGAGCAAACAGGAUUAGAUACCCCCGUAGUC